rnacentral:misc_RNA from 1 species
UCCGGCUUAUCACCGGCAGUCCCUCUAGAGUACCCAACUCAAUGCUGGCAACUAAAGGCGAGGGUUGCGCUCGUUGCGGGACUUAACCCAACAUCUCACGACACGAGCUGACGACAGCCAUGCAGCACCUGUGUUCCCGCCAGCCGAACUGAAGGAUACGAUCUCUCGUAUCCGCGACCGGGAUGUCAAGGGCUGGUAAGGUUCUGCGCGUUGCAUCGAAUUAAACCACAUACUCCACCGCUUGUGCGGGCCCCCGUCAAUUCCUUUGAGUUUCAGUCUUGCGACCGUACUCCCCAGGCGGCGAACUUAACGCGUUAGCUUCGAUACUGAGUGCCUAGUUGCACCCAACAUCCAGUUCGCAUCGUUUACGGCGUGGACUAC